AUUCUGUUGCAUGUAGAAGUCAGUAAAUUGCAGAUGUAAGAUUCAAAACCAGACUUCACAUCUACCGACUUCAGUGACCCUGAAAUUUGUUCACAGAGAGCAUUUAACAUAACUGUCUUCAUCAUCUCCUUCUCUACAUUAAAAAUUAUGGAGGCCUUACAAACUGGUAGAAGAUGCAUAACAGAAGAGCUUAUGAAGUUAAAGAUGACAGCAUAGCAGCACUGGUGAAGCUAGAGAAGAAGAUUCCUAAGAUGUAGGAGGAAAUUAUCAUACUGAGUAAGAGGGUGCAAUUUUGGAAGGUUGGACUUGAUGACCUCUCCAGCAUUAAGGUUCACAAAGACGUUAUUGGUGAUUCAAUCUUGAGUCAUGAAAAGUCAACCUUGAGCCACAAAAAGUCAACCUUGAGCCAAGCAGAUUGGAGAGUCAUACAUGCCAUUCCUGGGACCAUCAAAAAUGGCAGAGGUCACACAAAAAGGCAAAACUUUUAAGAGGUGUUUUAAACGUCGUAUGGCCUUCUCUGGCACUUUUAAGAUAUGCAUCAGGUUUUAUUCAUCUCUGAUUUUCUAGCCUCUGGCAGACUACCUGGUGUACCAGAGGCUUUGUAAGUAAUAGUUAAAUAAAGAGAAAACAUUAAAGCAACAUUGAAGGAAGAGGGUUAACCAGACUACAGAUUUGAGACCUCUAUCUCAGAGGGCCAACAGUCAUGUUGAUGUUUUCAUGCUUUCUUGGAUAUAAAAGUCACACUACACUUUCCCUCU
ensembl:lncRNA MIR7515HG MIR7515 host gene